rnacentral:tRNA from 1 species
GCCAGAGUAGCUCAGUGGUCUAGAGCACCUGUUUUGUAAACAGGCGGUCGUGAGUUCGACUCUCACCUCUGGCU